rnacentral:rRNA from 1 species
CCUACGAGAGGCUGCAGUGAGGAAUAUUGGUCAAUGGGCGCGCGCCUGAACCAGCCAAGUAGCGUGAAGGAUGACUGCCCUACGGGUUGUAUCCUUCUUUUCUAAAGGAAUAAAGUGAGGCACGUGUGCCUUUUUGUAUGUACUUUAUGAAUAAGGAUCGGCUAACUCCGUGCCAGCAGCCGCGGUAAUACGUAGGAUCCGAGCGUUAUCCGGAUUGAUUGGGUUUAAAGGGAGCGUAGAUGGGUUGUUAAGUCAGUUGUGAAAGUUUGCGGCUCAACCGUAAAAUUGCAAGUGAUACUGGCAGACUUGAGUACAGUUGAGGGAGGCGGAAUUCGUGGUGUAGCGGUGAAAUGCUUAGAUAUCACGAAGAACUCCGAUUGCGAAGGCAGCUUACUAAACUGCCACUGACAUUGAUGCUCGAAAGUGUGGGUAUCAAACGGGAUUAGAUACCCGGGGAGUC